UGCUCGGAUCCACUAGUCAAGGCUGAAUGGACGCGCUUGACAGAGCGUGUCGGACGAGGAGACAAAUGCAACCUAAUGAAGAAGCCCGGAAAGCAGCGUACAGCGAAGACAAGGUGGUUCCCGCUGACGUGACGUCUAUACAUCGACCACAAGAGAACGCGGACUUCCGGACGACGUGGUGGUGGUAGUGGCGGAAGAAUAGCUACUCCGGUGCCACAAUCUCCGGCGAUGACGCAAGCUGAUGAAAGACGCGAGAGACGCGUUACACUGCGCUGCGCGAACAGCUCGUGAGCACUCGAGAGAGUAAGAAUGAGCUAACGGGCGAGCGAACAAUUGUGAGGCGUAGCCGCACUGAUAAAUGAGACUGAUAUACGUGCUCUCUAAGGAUCCUUCCCCUUCCUCACGCACCUCGUACGAAAGCAGAGUUAUACACACGCGACCUCUCUCGAUGUGCUACUAACUAACAACUGACAAUUGUUAAAAACACAAAUAAAUAGUUGUCACAAAAGAUAGGGAAAGGAUUUCGUAGUGUUUGUAAAUGGUUCGAAUUGUAUGCUGGUCGACGCGUUAAAAAAAGACAUGCACUUGGAUAAUCCUUUUAUGAGAAUUUUUCGUCGUUUUUCUUGCAAAUAUCGACGCAGAGGAUGGCGAAGAUGCGCGUAUACGUGAAGCAUCUCGCAGUUGUGAACAAUGCGAAUUGCACAGUUGUCAACGGCUAGACGAGAGACAUGUUUUUUAACUCGUUUGCGAAAGUUUUGUGCCGUUUUUUGUCAGUUGUAAAAGUUUUGUAUCGCUUUUUGUCGUGGAUUUUCAACACACGCAUGGUGAAGUAUACAGAGUGUUAUCAAGAUACUCUUAAUUUUAAUACUAUAAUUUUAUUAACAUAAUACUGGAAUUAAAAGUG